GCUUUUGUACACACCGCCCGUCGCUACUACCGAUUGAAUGAUUUAGUGAGGUCUUCGGACUGGUACGCGGCAUCGACUCUGUCGUUGCCGAUGCUACCGGAAAGAUGACCAAACUUGAUCAUUUAGAGGAAGUAAAAGUCGUAACAAGGUUCCCGUAGGUGAACCUGCGGAAGGAUCAUUA
rnacentral:rRNA from 1 species